AUGCACUGACAGGUUAAAUUGAAUUGUGUAGCCUCAUUUUGUCAGUUGAGAAAUCAACGCCCGUUCUGUCACAAGCAACUUUGAUCAAGAGACACCCCCGGUUUUGUAUCUGGCAAGCAAUUGAAGAUGAACAAAAUUUUGUUGUCUUUUCUGGUCAUCUCAGUUGUUCUCGCUGUGUGCUGUGCACUGCGAGAACGACGAGAGGUGCGUCAGGAUUCCAAUCGUCAAAAGCGUUCUAUCCGGGACAUGGUUCGUCGUGAAGCAAGAAGGCAAGAUCUGUCCCGCCGAGAAUUUGCGCGUCGUGAUCUUACACGCCGUGAAUUAUUUCGCCGCGAUCUCAGCCGUCGAGAUCUCACCCGCCAAGCCCGGCGUCUUGGAGCCAACGAUUAUCAAGCAGUAUAUGCUCAGUUCCACGAGGACGAAGAAGGAUUUGCAGAGGCGGACUGAGAACACUUUGCAAAUGCAUCUUUGCCAAAUGCAUCUGGGAAGCCUAGGUGAUUCUGCAGGGAACCAAGAAAGCGUCUUUUUAUAUGAUCGUCGUAAAUUGAUUUAUAGUUUGAAUGUAUGUUGUGUACACAAUAAAAGCAGGCUUCCGAUGUAA